GCCAGGGCCCUGGGUGCUGUGUGCUGUGGGAAGUAGGGCACAGGGGAACCUAGGCUCAUGUCAGCAUUGCCUCCUCUGGGCGGGGGAGAAGAACCAGACCCUCCAGACUCUCAGGCUUGCCAGGGGCUGGGACGAGUUAACGCACAUUGGCCACAUGGUGUUUGGCACGCAUAGGUGUUUGGCGUUGGUCAGUCAGCCCAGCUGUCACAACAGCACCCGCACACUGGGUCUUGAACAACUGACACUCACUGGCUCCCCAUGCCGGAGGCUGCAAGCUCAGGGUGGACACCUCUUGCGUUCAGGAUCCCUGACCCGGGGCUGAAGGCAGAGAGAGAGUUUGUUGGAAGCUCCUUGGAGAAGCGCCACAGGAAUCAGGGCGAAGGUGCUGUCAGGCCGAAGGAAGCGGUGAUCCGAGCGGCAGCCCGGUUCUUUCCUCAAAUUAAAUUACACAUCAUUUCCUUGUCCUUAAUAAAAUAAUUACUG